rnacentral:rRNA from 1 species
AUUCCGGUUGAUCCUGCCGGAGGUCAUUGCUAUUGGAGUCCGAUUUAGCCAUGCUAGUUGCACGAGUUCAGACUCGUAGCAGAUAGCUCAGUAACACGUGGCCAAACUACCCUAUGGAUCCGAAUAACCUCGGGAAACUGAGGCUAAUUCGGAAUACGGCUCACCACCUGGAGUGGUGUGAGCCCGAAACGCUCCGGCGCCAUAGGAUGUGGCUGCGGCCGAUUAGGUAGACGGUGGGGUAACGGCCCACCGUGCCCAUAAUCGGUACGGGUUGUGAGAGCAAGAGCCCGGAGACGGUAUCUGAGACAAGAUACCGGGCCCUACGGGGCGCAGCAGGCGCGAAACCUUUACACUGCACGAAAGUGCGAUAAGGGGACUCCAAGUGCGAGGGCAUAUAGUCCUCGCUUUUUGCGACCGUAAGGUGGUCGCGGAAUAAGUGCUGGGCAAGACCGGUGCCAGCCGCCGCGGUAAUACCGGCAGCACGAGUGAUGACCGCUAUUAUUGGGCCUAAAGCGUCCGUAGCUGGCCAUGCAAGUCCAUCGGGAAAUCCGCGCGCUUAACGCGCGGGCGUCCGGUGGAAACUGCAUGGCUUGGGACCGGAAGACCAGAGGGGUACGUCCGGGGUAGGAGUGAAAUCCCGUAAUCCUGGACGGACCACCGGUGGCGAAAGCGCCUCUGGAAGACGGAUCCGACGGUGAGGGACGAAAGCUCGGGUCACGAACCGGAUUAGAUACCCGGGUAGUCCGAGCUGUAAACGAUGUCUGCUAGGUGUGGCACAGGCUACGAGCCUGUGCUGUGCCGCAGGGAAGCCGUGAAGCAGACCGCCUGGGAAGUACGUCCGCAAGGAUGAAACUUAAAGGAAUUGGCGGGGGAGCACUACAACCGGAGGAGCCUGCGGUUUAAUUGGACUCAACGCCGGACAUCUCACCAGCAUCGACAAUGUGCAGUGAAAGUCAGGUUGAUGACCUUACUGGAGCCAUUGAGAGGAGGUGCAUGGCCGCCGUCAGCUCGUACCGUGAGGCGUCCUGUUAAGUCA